GAUGAACGCUGGCGGCGUGCCUAAUACAUGCAAGUCGAGCGAACGGACGAGAAGCUUGCUUCUCUGAUGUUAGCGGCGGACGGGUGAGUCACACGUGGAUUACCUACCUCUAAGACUUGGAUAACUUCGGCAAACCGGAGCUAAUACCAGAUAAUACUUUGACCCGCAUGGUUCAAGAGUGAAUGACGGUCUUGCUGUCACUUAUAGAUGUAUCCGCGCUGCAUUAGCUAGUUGGUAAGGUAACGGCUUACCAAGGCACCGAUGGAUAGCCGACCUGAGCGGGUGAUCGGCCACACUGGAACUGAGACACGGUCCUGAGUCCUACGGGAGGCAGAAGUAGGGAAGCGUCGGAGAUGGGCGGAAGCCUGAAGGAGCGACGCCGCGUGGGUGAUGAAGGGCUGCGGAUGGUAAGACGCUGUUAUUAGUGAAGAACAUAUGUGUAAGUAACUGUGCACAGCUUGACGGUACCUAAUCAGAAAGCCACGGCUAACUACGUG
rnacentral:rRNA from 1 species